GCAUGUUUCAUCCUUUUGUCAAUGACUUUUCGCCGCCAACCAUCCAUUCAUUCCACUGUUCUCGAAUGCGAUCUUUAAAUGGCUUGUUUAGGCACACAUCCAGUGGCUGUACCAAUGAUGUCAAACCUGCAGGAAUAACUGCUGCAUCUGUGUUUAGUCUUGCAAGCCUUUGCUUGGUGCUGGGAGUUAAAUGAGCCCUAAACAUAUCCCACACCAGUAGACUACGUUUUUGAAUAAGUCCACCUAGUCGCCUGCUCCAUACAUUAUCAAGCCAUAGCUUUACCCCUUCUUCAUCCAUCCAGCCUUUUUCAUUCACAUGUACAAAACAACCAACAGGGAACUUGAGUUUCGGCAUUGUUUUUCUUUUAAAAAUAAUCAUUGGUCUCAGUUUGGCGCCAUCAGCUGUGCAUCCUAGUACCACUGUAAAAUUGGACUUCUCAUGUCCUGUUGUUUUAAUUAAAAUAGUUUUUUUACCUUUUU